rnacentral:rRNA from 1 species
GUGCCAGCAGCCGCGGUAAUACGUAGGUGGCCAGCGUUGCCCGGAUUUACUGGGCGUAAAGAGCGCGUAGGUGGUGCCCUAAGUUGGGCGUGAAAGCCCCCGGCUUAACUGGGGAGGGUCGUCCAAUACUGGGGUGCUUGAGGGCAGGGGAAGGAAGCGGAAUUCCCGGUGUAGUGGUGAAAUGCGUAGAUAUCGGGAAGAACACCAGUGGCGAAGGCGGCUUCCUAAACUGUUCCUGACGCUGAGGCGCGAAAGCUAGGGGAGCGAACCGAAUUAGAUACUCGGGUAGUCCUAGCUGUAAACUUUGGGCACUAGGUGUAGCGGGUAUCGACCCCUGCUGUGCCGCAGCUAACGCAAUAAGUGCCCCGCCUGGGGACUACGAGCGCAAGCUUAAAACUUAAAUGAAUUGACGGGG